AGCGAACGCUGGCGGCAGGCUUAACACAUGCAAGUCGAACGCCCCGCAAGGGGAGUGGCAGACGGGUGAGUAACACGUGGGAACGUACCCUUUGGUUCGGAAUAACUUGGGGAAACUCAAGCUAAUACCGGAUCAGCCCGUAUGGGGAAAGGUUUACUGCCGAAGGAUCGGCCCGCGUCUGAUUAGCUAGUUGGUGAGGUAAUGGAUCACCAAGGCGACGAUCAGUAGCUGGUCUGAGAGGAUGAUCAGCCACACUGGGACUGAGACACGGCCCAGACUCCUACGGGAGGCAGCAGUGGGGAAUAUUGGACAAUGGGGGCAACCCUGAUCCAGCCAUGCCGCGUGAGUGAUGAAGGCCUUAGGGUUGUAAAGCUCUUUUACCCGGGACGAUAAUGACUGUACCGGGAGAAUAAGCCCCGGCUAACUUCGUGCCAGCCGCCGCAGUAA
rnacentral:rRNA from 1 species